rnacentral:tRNA from 1 species
GCUCAGUUGGUGGAGCGCGACCUUGCCAAGGUCGAGGCCGCGGGUUCGAGUCCCGU